UCAACAAAAUAUUGACAAACCACAUCCAGCAAUACAUUAAAAAGAUCAUUCCCCAUGAUCAAGGGGGAUUCAUACCAGGGAUGCAAGGAUAGUACAAUAUUCACAAGUCAAUAAAUGUAAUAUAUCACAUAAA